UACAGAGGAGCCAAGCGUUGUCCGGAUUGACUGGGCGUAAAGCGCACGCAGGCGGGUGGGCGCGUGGGGUGUGAAAUCUGGCCGCUUAACGGCCAGGCGCCAUCCCAUACGGCACGCCUGGAGUGAUGCAGAGGUCGAUGGAAUUGCCGGUGUAGUGGUGAAAUGCGCAGAUAUCAGGAGGAACACCGGUGGCGAAGGCGGGUCUCUGGGCCGAUACUGACGCUGAGGAGCGAAAGCGUGGGGAGCGAACAGG
rnacentral:rRNA from 1 species